rnacentral:rRNA from 1 species
CAAGAGCGUAUGUAAAAGUUGUUGCAGUUAAAAAGCUCGUAGUUGAACCUUGGGUUUGGUUGGCCGGUCCGCUUUUUUACGAGUACUGGAUUCAACCGAGCCUUUCCUUCUGGCUAACCAGUCGUUUCGGCGGCUGGCGAACCAGGAUUUUUACUUUGAGAAAAUUAGAGUGUUCAAAGCAGGCAUUAGCUUGAAUAUAUUAGCAUGGAAUAAUAGAAUAGGACGUUAUGGUUCUAUUUUGUUGGUUUCUAGGACCAUCGUAAUGAUUAAUAGGGACGGUCGGGGGCAUCAGUAUUCAGUUGUCAGAGGUGAAAUUCUUGGAUUUACUGAAGACUAACUACUGCGAAAGCAUUUGCCAAGGACGUUUUCAUUAA